rnacentral:misc_RNA from 1 species
GGAGGUCUUUAUAUGCAAUUGGUUCUUGUUUUCUGCUUUUUCUCUUAGCUUACAACAGUUCCACUGUGUUCUAUGUUCAAGUCCCUGUUCCAGGGAACUCUUCGCCGGAGAUUUCAAGUUUUUUAACUGAAAAUGUCGCCAGAAAAUCAAGAAAGUUGGUUUCUUUAUCUACUUCAGCUAAACGUUCAUCCUCUGCGAUAUAUGCUGUAAAAGAAGAAACCCCACUUGUAAAGCCGAACACCCGGUUGAUAAUUUCCCGGAAAAAUCCAAACAUGGUGGGUUUUUCAUAUGAUUCAGAGGCUUAUCAACCUAGAAGAAGGAAAAAGAAGAAGUCUUUGGUGAAAGGGGACAGAAUCAAUGUGUUUUCAAUGAGAAUGAAGGAGUUUUUUGGUUCUAAAGCAU